rnacentral:rRNA from 1 species
UCAGCAGCCGCGGUAAUACGUAGAGUGCAAGCGUUGUCCGGAAUCUAUUGGGCGUAAAGGGUACGCAGGCGGAUAUACAAGUCAAAUGUGAAAGGUGUAGGCUUAACCUACAGACUGCGUUUGAAACUGUAUAUCUUGAGAGCAGCAGAGGAAGGCGGAAUUCCUGGUGUAGUGGUGAAAUACGUAGAUAUCAGGAAGAACACCAGUGGCGAAGGCGGUCUUCUGGGCUGCAUCUGACGCUCAUGUACGAAAGCUGGGGUAGCGAACGGGAUUAGAUACCCCGGUAGUCCCAGCUGUAAACGAUGGUCACHWAGGUGUU